GCUCGGCGAGCCCGCGGGAGAGGAUUAGGCUCCCGAGGCAACUUGCUCCGGGAUCGGGCCGUUUUUUCCCGAUGCUUGGGCUGCCCGGCUGCUCUGGCUUUGGCCUCCCUCUCGUCUUCCUCCUCCUCUUCCUCCUGCCCCGUCCCUCCCUCGCUCCUUCCCAGCCGCGCCGCCUGCGCCCUGGCCUCCUGUCGCGCUGCUCCUCCGCCUUGCGCUCCUGGGGUCCCCGCAGUCCGGCUGGCCGCGUUGCGCGCGGGGCUCCCUUUUCUGCCGGUGGCGAGUGGCUGGUGGGUAGGUCUUCCUGUUGAUGAGGUCCCUCCCGGGCUCUAGGAAAAGGUGGAACUUGGAACAGGCGGCUUAGCUCGCUUUGGUCCCACGCUGUGGCGCACAGCUAGGGCCUGGCCCGCUUGGCUGCCCGAGAGGAUAUCCAAAAACGUGAGGUGGGAGGAAAGGUGCACUGCUUGCCCUAGCGGACAAUCAGGUUGGAACGCACAGGAACACAGGAUUUUUAAGAGUUCUGCGAGGAGCCCAGGUUGGAGCCCGUGAGUGCAAUGUGCUGACUUAAGUGGUUCUGGCCCAAGGACGUGCCGAACCCUACAUUUGGCAAAGCCUUCAGUAAAUGGAUCGAAUUCUCGCGGGGACAGAUGGAGUCUGGAGAGGCGAAACAGCUUGAUCUCCCAAGUCCUGGGCGGUUGGACUGCAAUCUACCACGUCUGCACAGAAUCUAG